AAAGAUUAAGCCAUGCAUGUCUAAGUAUAAACGAUUUAAUCGUGAAACCGCGAAUGGCUCAUUAUAACAGCUAUAAUUUACUUGAUCUUGACACAAUCCUACUUGGAUAACUGUGGUAAUUCUAGAGCUAAUACAUGCAUUAAAGCUCUGACCUCACGGGAAGAGUGCAUUUAUUAGAACAAAACCAAGCGGCUUCGGCUGUUUCUGGUUGACUCAUAGUAACUGAGCUGAUCGCAUGGUCUUGCACCGGCGACGUGUCUUUCAAGUAUCUGCCGUAUCAACUUUCGAUGGUAGUGUAUCUGACUACCAUGGUGAUCACGCGUAACGGAGAAUAAGGGUUCGGCUCCGGAGAGUUCGCCUGAGAAAUCGCGAACACAUCUAAGGAAGGCAGCAGGCGCGAAAAUUACCCACUCUCAGCACGAGGAGGUAGUGACGAAAAAUAACGAGACCGUUCUCUUAUGAGGCCGGUCAUCGGAAUGGGUA
rnacentral:rRNA from 1 species